ACACCAAUGGUGAAGCGGUUAUCAUGCUUGCCUUCCACGUGACGCGUUGAUUAUAUAAUCGCUCGUAAUACCGUUAGCAAGCGGCAGGGGUUCGACUCCCCUUUGGUGUA